CACGUAGGGUGCGAGCGUUGUCCGGAAUUAUUGGGCGUAAAGAGCUCGUAGGCGGUGUGUCACGUCGGCCGUGAAAACCUGCAGCUUAACUGUGGGCGUGCGGUCGAUACGGGCAUCACUGGAGUUCGGAAGAGGCGAGUGGAAUUCCCGGUGUAGCGGUGAAAUGCGCAGAUAUCGGGAGGAACACCUAUGGCGAAGGCAGCUCGCUGGGACGUUACUGACGCUGAGACGCGAAAGCGUGGGGAGCAAACAGG
rnacentral:rRNA from 1 species